rnacentral:rRNA from 2 species
CUACCACUGAUUUCAACAAUGAAGCGAGUGGCGAACUGGUGAGUAACACGUGGGAAAUCUGCCCAGAAGCAGGGGAUAACACCUGACAGGUGCUAGUACCGUAUAACAACAAAAUCCGCAUGGAUUUUGUUUGAAAGGUGGCUUCGGCUAUCACUUCUGGAUGAUCCCGCGGCGUAUUAGUUAGUUGGUGAGGUAAAGGCCCACCAAGACGAUGAUACGUAGCCGACCUGAGAGGGUAAUCGGCCACAGGACUGAGACACGGCCCAAACUCCUACGGGAGGCAGCAGUAGGGAAUCUUCCACAAUGGACGAAAGUCUGAUGGAGCAAUGCCAGAAGGGUUUCGGCUCGUAAAACUCUGUUGUUAAAGAAGAACACCUUUGAGAGUAACUGUUGCAGGGUUGACGGUAUUUAACCAGAAAGCCACGGCUAACUACGUGCCAGCAGCCGCGGUAAUACGUAGGUGGCAAGCGUUGUCCGGAUUUAUUGGGCGUAAAGCGAGCGCAGGCGGUUUUUUAAGUCUGAUGUGAAAGCCUUCGGCUUAACCGGAGAAGUGCAUCGGAAACUUUGAGACUUGAGUGCAGAAGAGGACAGUGGAACUCCAUGUGGGUGGAAUGCGUAGAUAUAUGGAAGAACACCAGUGGCGAAGGCGGCUGUCUAGUCUGUAACUGACGCUGAGGCUCGAAAGCAUGGGUAGCGAACAGGAUUAGAUACCCUGGUAGUCCAUGCCGUAAACAGUGCUAAGUGUUGGAGGGUUUCCGCCCUUCAGUGCUGCAGCUAACGCAUUAAGCACUCCGCCUGGGGAGUACGACCGCAAGGUUGAAACUCAAAGGAAUUGACGGGGGCCCGCACAAGCGGGCAUGUGGUUUAAUUCGAAGCUACGCGAAGAACCUUACCAGGUCUUGACAUCUUCUGCCAAUCUUAGAGAUAAGACGUUCCCUUCGGGGACAGAAUGACAGGUGGUGCAUGGUUGUCGUCAGCUCGUGUCGUGAGAUGUUGGGUUAAGUCCCGCAACGAGCGCAACCCUUAUUAUCAGUUGCCAGCAUAGUUGGGCACUCUGGUGAGACUGCCGGUGACAAACCGGAGGAAGGUGGGGAUGACGUCAAAUCAUCAUGCCCCUUAUGACCUGGGCUACACACGUGCUACAAUGGACGGUACAACGAGUCGCGAAGUCGUGAGGCUAAGCUAAUCUCUCGUUC